rnacentral:rRNA from 1 species
GAUGAACGCUGGCGGCGUGCUUAACACAUGCAAGUCGAACGAUGAAAGCGGGAGCUUGCUCCUGCUGGAUUAGUGGCGAACGGGUGAGUAACACGUGAGCAAUCUGCCCCGAACUCUGGGAUAAGCGUUGGAAACGACGUCUAAUACCGGAUACGACGCGCGAAGGCAUCUUCUGCGCGUGGAAAGCAUUCCGGUUCGGGAUGAGCUCGCGGCCUAUCAGCUAGUUGGUGAGGUAACGGCUAACCAAGGCGACGACGGGUAGCCAGGCUGAGAGGGUGACCGGCCACACUGGGACUGAGACACGGCCCAGACUCCUACGGGAGGCAGCAGUGGGGAAUAUUGCACAAUGGGCGCAAGCCUGAUGCAGCAACGCCGCGUGAGGGACGACGGCCUUCGGGUUGUAAACCUCUUUUAGUAGGGAAGAAGCGAAAGUGACGGUACCUGCAGAAAAAGCACCGGCUAACUACGUGCCAGCCGCCGCAGUAAUAC